rnacentral:rRNA from 1 species
UACGUAGGGAGCAAGCGUUGUCCGGAAUCAUUGGGCGUAAAGCGCGCGUAGGCGGCUUCAUAAGUCUGCUGUGAAAGUCACGGGCUCAACCCGUGAAUGCCAGUGGAAACUGUGAAGCUAGAGUCCGGAAGAGGCGAGUGGAAUUCCUGGUGUAGCGGUGGAAUGCGCAGAUAUCAGGAGGAACACCGACGGCGAAGGCAGCUCGCUGGGACGGAACUGACGCUAAGGCGCGAAAGCGUGGGGAGCAAACAGG